rnacentral:ncRNA from 1 species
AUAGUACUCUUGCUUAAUACAAGAGGAACUGGAGGUGCAAACAUUUGGCAUCUGUGAUUGGCUGAGGAGCCAGUGGUGAGAAACUGCCACCUGUGGGAUCAUGAUUGAACCUUUCUAAAACACAAUCCACCCAAAAAA